UAAGAAGAUUCAACCAAAUUAAAUAAGAAAAGCUCCACGUUCCCUUCAGGCUCUAUGUUUACGAUAUAUGGUGAGCAUACGGGGGCCCCUCGGGACGGAGCCAACCUGAUUGGUCUGACAUGAUCUCUGCUGGGCCAGAGCCUCUGAUUAUCUCUGUCAGCAAGCUGGUUUCCAUCGGUGGCCCGUUUUCCUCUUCGGUUUUUAAGGACCGAUGAUUAAUAACACUGGUGACAAUAAGUUUUUCUCCCUAAAAGUUCAGUCUUCCUUUACAUUCCAAUUUGAAAAAAAAAAAGAAUUAUUUGAACAGGGAGAGAAUAUUACAAAAAAAAAAGGGCAAGUCAUCAUUGGUCCUGUGUUGACCCGGUCCACGGUUUGACUUUCAAGAAAGUUAAUCUUAAAAGUGCAGAUGGAAAGGCAAGCAAAACAACAACACCACAAGAAUCCACGUAAAAAGCGGAGUGGCAAUCAGAAGCAGCUGACCCUGAAUGUGUAUUCUGAUCCCACACCUUCAGCUCCUCAUGAAACCUUUAGUUAUGUAACCGCGACGCAGCGAACACCGCCAGGCUGAAUCUGUUUUCCGUAUAAAACCCCACAGUGAAGUUCUUUCACGCAGGAGGAAGACGGGAAACAUAAACACGACACGUGUAAUCCCCGGCCGAGCCUUGCCUGCGCUGGCUGCGUUUGGCCGCGGACCGGAUCCAGGAGCAGAGCUGCUGAAAAACAGAGCAUCACUCAUUGGUUCUGAGGGUUAUGUAAGCAGGGUCACAGUUUUCUCCCCCCCUCCACCCCAAAGUGACACGCUUAGAAUCAUAUUUGUCUUGCCAUUAGCUGACCACGUUGUUUCCUACAAGUGUUCGCCAGCUACGGCUGGAGAACAGGAAAACAUGAUGUAACAGUCCCGUGAGGACUGAUGGCAAACAGUGCUGUUUGUGUGAAUAGAAGAUCUUCUUAUGGAAUUCCUUACUCUGUGUUUUAUCAUUCUAUAAAAAUCUUUUUUUUUUAACUAUUUCGGGUCAGCUUGGAGUAGAAACCCUGACGUGUUGCUUCUGCCAAGCCGAUAUUUUUGUGGUCGUUUUAAAUCUCCCCGCAGCCGCCUUACAUAAUGAUCCUCAAGCCUGUGCUUGCUGUCAAAACUGCGGCGCUCCAAAUAUUCCACCAGAAACACACUAACGGCACAGCAACACGUUUAAACGUGCUGCUGUGAAUUCAGCCCAUACAGCAUUUUCUGUUGUCACAUGCUCAAACUUCGCGUCUCUGUUUCAGAGGCAAGGAGGGGAAGGAGUUUUGGUGGUGAACGUGAAGGAAUAAGCAGCUCUUUUUGUUUGCCUGGGCUUCGUUGGUGAGAGCAAGGCGGUGAUCUGCACGGCUGCUGUAAUUUGUGCAAUCACAUAUCAGCGGUCACUGCUUAUCUUGGCCUCACAGCUGGGUCGGCCCGGGUGGAUUAAGGAGCUUCCGGGUGACGUAAGACUCUCCACUGUUAACAUCUGCGUGAUGGUGACAAGAGGUGAAACAGUACCCAAAACAAGCUUACUGGUGUAUAUUGAUGUGCGAGUGUUGAUAUAAUUAAGUUCUUUCAAAGAAAGCAUUGAGUGUCUCUGUUUAAAGAAGCUGAUUUGGCACAAAUUUGUGUUAGUGACUGCAAAUUAUUUCAAUGCACCGUCAAGCGUGUGGUAUUUUUUUCAUUCACUAAGCAAAACAUGCUUGUUUUUGAGACUACCCUGCUCUGCUUUUCUUACAUAAACACACGUAGAAGGUGUCGGUGAUGCUCCAGUCUGGGUUUAGCUGACAGCUUUAGUUUUGUUUGUUUGUUUCCAACAGGUUGCUUUCUGAAUGAUUAAACUCUUAAAAUGGUGUACGGACGUAAAGAACCGCCCGCAGACUGGCACAGCAUCCAGGCAGCCAAGGAUAGUCCUACAACAGUGGAGUGUUGUUUUACUGCACUCAUCGAAUAAAUGGUGUCUGCAGACAUUCCUUAUUGGCACCCAUUGAUUUUUCAGAAGAAUUCAAUGAGAUGAAGAGAUUAAAAAAAACAUGAUAUUAAAAUGUGCAGGUGAUGUCCGAUUGUCCGGUGUGUUUUGAUGGACACGUAGGUUCUUAUGCUUUUGUUGGCUCGAGUGAAUCUGAGAAAACUGAAUUACAAAUAGAAGAUGUUCAUAAAAAAUGGCCCUUUAGUUCCAGUGCAAGGCAGGUGUUAUCUUACUCUACAAAAGUUUUGAUAUGUAUUGGAAAAGCUGAAUUAUUGAGGCAAUCAUUUUUUUCAAAUAAAAAAAAUAGAAAAACGUGGCCUUUUUGGAAAAUCACUAAGCUAAUUUCUCUUAGCAAUGCAAGCUAACUCAAGGGUGUCACAACACGGUCACAAAACACAGCGUACUGUACUAAGUGUGCAGCGGAUUCAUUUGAAAGUCCAGUAUAUAAGCUGUAAGCAGUUUUUCCAGGUCGGCCAUGUUUGAGUUUGAGAUCCUGACUGAACACCAAGAAAUACCAGACCUGCAAAGAUACCUGGAUUAGUUCAGUCAAAGCCUUACUUAUUGUUGUUGUCAAAUUGUUUAGUCCAGCCUCCUAGUCUUAACGCUUGAAUCUCUUGACUUCCAUUUCCAGUCCCGUGUCUGAAAACCUUAAAGGGUUAUUUCACUUUCCGACAGGCUGCGACCCCUAUAAGUAAAAUGUAAUAUUUCAGACUUCACUUCCUUCUUGUCUUGACCGAUGUUUGAUCUGAUCACCCUGAAAUUUCAAUGAGUCCUGCUCCAGGCUUACUAUGGAUGCAACCACUCUGAUGCAGCAAGAUCCAUUACUCAUAAACCUUCACUCAUAAACCACAAUGAAUUAUGGCUUCUUAAUUUACCGUAAUACAGAGUUUUAUGGAUAAUGAAUGAGUAAUGGAGAACAAUCGGUGUGAAAAUAGUCUUGUUUGGUUUCUGCUGCUUGUUUUGGGCUGCUGAGCGACAUGGAAAGGUGAGCUGGACGCAUCUCGGUGCUAAAUUAGCUCUGCAAGCAGAGAAGCAUUCGCACACAAUGUGAAUAUCUGUAAAGAAUAUCUACAUCUUUAUAGAUAUUCAACAAGAAUAUCUAUAAAUGUCUGUGUAACAACGGGGUCCGUUUUAAACUUAGCAAAGCAGUUUGUCUCUUUGGUAGACGGCUGCCUCUGCCCACCUUUCUAUUAUAAUCAAGCUCGCCCACUGUGCCAAUCAAAUACCAGUCUGCGUGUUAUAACUCAGCAUGGUGCUGUUAAAUGAGAUUUUAGCAUAAGUGAACCAAGGGCAACCUUAGCUAAGUCCAAGUUUUUCACCAAAUGAACAACUCCAGUACAGGGGAAAAGAAUUCAUCACCUGUUCCGUUUCAACAAAAGCUCAGCUGUCUACAGAUUGGAGAAAGAUUUUGCUCUAUUGUUAUCAUGUCAAAAAAAUAAAAAAUCUCCAAAGACACAAAUAAGUCCAGCUUUGGAUUAACAGAAAUGUGAAUAAAUCAAACAUGAUAAACUGUUAAAUCACGCUAAAAAAAUACGCGUUACAGUUGACGGAAACGUCCUGGUGAUUUUCUAUCAGGAUUUCUUCUGUUUUGUUUUGUUUGUUUCCUGACAUUUUUCUUACAGAGUAGCAUAACGGAGCACUGUGACUUCCACUCCCACGAACCAGUUCACACACACUGUUCAAACUGAGAGCACAUCAAAGGCAACACGCUUACUUGAAAGACCAGGCAGACCUGCGAAGCAUUACUGUGUACAUGGCAAGGAGUCAUUACGUUGCCUAUUCUGUCUGUGCAACAAACAACACUGAUCCCUUACUUUUAAACUGACUGGAUGAUGAUCCUGUGUUUGACUCUUGUUUGGCUUGAGGGAGACGGUCACCUUCAUCAUCCGAACUUCAACGGUGCGGCGUGGUUCUUUUCAGAUUCCAGACAAGUGUCAUUACCGAUAAGGCUUUGAUGUCUGUGAGAAAGAAAUAUAAAUGAAUAAUCUGCAACGCAGUGGCCUUUGAUCGCUCAGAUGCGUAGUGUUCGAAUUAAACUGUCUGCAAGUACCGUAUUGCCUUGUUACUGUGAGACAUGAGUCAUCCCCAAUUUUGCUCUCUUUCCAUGUCUCAAUUGUGCCACUUAAUGAAAAGACAAAACACA